AGUAGACCUCACAGUGAAAUGCUGAAUACAACAGGUGUAGUAGACCUUACAGUGAAAUGCUGAAUACAACAGGUGUAGUAGACCUCACAGUGAAAUGCUGAAUACAACAGGUGUAGUAGACCUCACAGUGAAAUGCUGAAUACAACAGGUGUAGUAGACAUCACAGUGAAAUGCUGAAUACAACAGGUGUAGUAGACCUUACAGUGAAAUGCUGAAUACAACAGGUGUAGUAGACCUCACAGUGAAAUGCUGAAUACAACAGGUGUAGUAGACCUUACAGUGAAAUGCUGAAUACAACAGGUGUAGUAGACCUCACAGUGAAAUGCUGAAUACAACAGGUGUAGUAGACCUCACAGUGCAAUGCUGAAUACAACAGGUGUAGUAGACCUCACAGUGAAAUGCUGAAUACAACAGGUGUAGUAGACCUCACAGUGAAAUGCUGAAUACAACAGGUGUAGUAGACCUCACAGUGAAAUGCUGAAUACAACAGGUGUAGUAGACCUUACAGUGAAAUGCUGAAUACAACAGGUGUAGUAGACCUUACAGUGAAAUGCUGAAUACAACAGGUGUUGUAGACCUUACAGUGAAAUGCUGAAUACAACAGGUGUAUUAGACCUUACAGUGAAAUGCUGAAUACAACAGGUGUAGUAGACCUCACAGUGAAAUGCUGAAUACAACAGGUGUAGUAGACCUUACAGUGAAAUGCUGAAUACAACAGGUGUUGUAGACCUUACAGUGAAAUGCUGAAUACAACAGGUGUAUUAGACCUUACAGUGAAAUGCUGAAUACAACA